UACCUCAGUGCUUUGCUGCUUUUAGCACUCUUGGGACAUGGGGAAAUAAUGUUGAGGCUGCACCUCAGUGCUCAGCUCAACAUGGGGGCCCCUCACUGCUGCUCACCCUUAGGUGGAAGUGUAAGGACUGGGUCAGUGCUGAGAAGGUAGGAGCCAUGCAGCAGAGCUUACUUGUUGCAAGGUUGUGUGAAGGCUGGAGGGGACAAUGGGGGCAGUAUGGUGAUCUCCUGGAGGUGCUUUCACUCCUUUGCACUAGGUCAAUUCAAUGUACUCAAAUAGGCACCCACUGCCCCAUACCUGUAACGGCUUUAACCUCUCAGUGCAUCUCUUCAAGAGGAGUUUGCUCAGCUUCCAUGCAAUGAAGGCAGAAAGACACCUCCAAAUUAGGAAGUAUGUCUGCUACUGAACCUGAUGGAAUACAUGCCUGAUACCCAGAGGAGACGUCAUUCUUCAAUGUUUGCCCCAGGUUGCCCAGCAAGUCAGUGGCAGAACAUGGAUUUCAACCUACAUCUCCCAUAGUCUGUGCCAGGGCUUUUGCAGUUUCAGUUCUUUCAGCUCCUGUAGUCUGCUGUUGGCAUGCAAACUUGAGCUUGCCUGGUUACAAUUCCUCACAUUGUUUGCAGUGUCUUGGCCAAAGAAAAUGAAAGCAGUCUUUUCAUGAUUCCAAUGCAAAACCAUAGGCUGGUUGGGGGAGGUGGGAAAGGCAUCGCUGCACAGGCUGACUUUUUAGCCUUAAAAAGAGGAAUAUAAGAGAUGCCACAAGUGGUCAAAAGAAAGAAAAUAAGGAAUACUUUGUUACUCUCAGAAUGCACAUACUAGAGGGUAAUUAAUUAAAUUGUCCAGUGGAAAACUCCAAACAUAGAAUCAUAGAAUUUCUUAGGUUGGAAAAGACCUUAAAGAUCAUCAAGUCCAACCAAGUCCAACGUGUUGAAGAUGUUUCCUUCCAUGUUGUCAGUUGGUGAAGCCCACUGCCACAAGAUGUUUUUACACUGAAAUUUUACACGUGCUCAGGAAAGUAAACAGAAAAGGUUAAGAAAGAAAAAUACAGUAGAGCAAAUUAACAUGACAAUGCCAUUUCUAGCUCAAGAAAACCAUGCACUACAAACUACUGGGGGAAUAGACACUGGAAGCAUCAAUAUCUGCCUGGAUUCUCUCCUGGUCUUGAAACACUGGAUUAGAAAUAACUGCUGUUGGUGUCUUAAAGGCUGAGUUAACAAAGGGCCCAUGGUACCCACACUGCAAAAUGAAAGACCCAGGUGCAGCACCAGCCUUUACACAGCAUGCAAUAUGAAUAACUCUAAAAAUCCUACUAGGCUGAGCUGACUUUGCCUUGGAGAGAUGAUUUGGCUUUAAGUACUUUUUCUGGCAGAGUCUAAGAGAAGUGGGUGCUGCAAAGAUAUCUUUAAACCAGCCGCCUCCACCAUGUCCCUCAAAAAGGAAAAUAAUCCCUCCUGUGCACAAAUCACCAUGGGAGGAAUCCCUGAAGUCUUCACACCCAUCCAGCAGAGAGCACUGAAUUCAUUGUUCCCUUUUUUCGAGGCAUUCCCAUCAGUUGGGUAACUCAGGUAACGAGUUUGCCAUCUGAUGGUUUCUCAGUGUAUUAUUUCACAGUGCACUUAGCCUCAGUGGUUCUGAAUGAGCUGAUUUAUUACUUUUAUCUAAGUUUUGGUCCCUGUUAUCUGUCAUAUCAUUCAGCUCCUUGAUAGGGGUUUUAAGAAAAAGAUUGAGAAAUCAGUUACAACUUGCAAAGGUCUGAAUCUUGUCUGGAAUGGAUGAAGAGCAUGCAUAUGUGUGCAUAUUGCUAUGUGUUGAUUAUGAUGUUGCUGGGGUGAGCUGGUACAAAAUCAGAAUUGGGAACGGAGC
rnacentral:lncRNA from 1 species